CAUCGUUAUUACAUUGGUCGGUAAGGCCUAUCUGUAACACUGCAAAAUAUAAAGCGGCAGUGUGGGCAUAUCGCAGUACAAUUACAAAUGCCGGAGUAUCUUCACGUGAUUUAUGCAUUUUUAUUCUCUAAAUUUAGCCUAAUCCUAGAUAAAGUCAACCUGGGAGUUAAAUUAGAAAUGUAGAUUUGUUUUAAUUUUAAUAUAGGCCUAAUGUGUAGACCAAAAUGAAACCUCUCCCUCAACAAAACAAAGGAGCUGAUCGUGGACUACAAGAGACAACAGAGAGAGCACGCCCUAUCCACAUCGAUGGGGCCGCAGUAGAGAGGGUCAAACGCUUCAUGUGCCUCUUCGGCGUGCACAUCACCGAGGACAUGAAAAUGUCCCCCCACACCGAGAUCGUUGUGAAGAAGGAGAACUAACGCCUCUUCAACCUCAGAAGGCUGAAGAAAUUCGGCUUGGUCCGCAAGAGUCAUCGCUACAGAGGACCUGAGCCCUUGGACCAUGCCUCAGGACUACCUGGCCUGAUGACUCCUUGCUGUCCCAAGCCCACCUGGUCAUGCUGCUGCUCCAGUUUCAACUGUUCUGCCUAAGGCUAUGGAACCCUGACCUGUUCACUGGAUGUGCUACCUUGUCCCGGACCUGCUGUUUUGGACCCUCUCUCUACCGCACCUGCUGUCUCUGACUUUGAAUGAUCGGCUAUGAAACGCCAACUGACAUUUACUCCUGAGGUGCUGACCUGUUGCACCCUCUACAACCACUGAUUAUUAUUAUCUGACCCAGCAGGUCAUCUAUGAACGUUUGAACAUCUUGACCAUGUUCUGUUAUUGCCACGCGGCACAGCCAGAAGAGGACUGGCCACCCCUCAGAGCCUGGUUCCUCUCUAGGUUUGUUCCUAUGUUCUGUCCUUUCUAGGGAGUUUUUGCUAGCCACCGUGCUUCUACGUCUGCAUUGCUUGCUGUUUGGGGUUUUAGGCUGAGUUUUUGUACAGCUUAUGUGAAAAGGGCUUUAUAAAUAAAUUUGACUGAGUUUAUAUCUCGCCGCCAUUGGACUCUGGGGCAGUGGAAACGUGUUCUCAUGCUUCAUUCAGCCCGACGGACGAAUCUGGGUUUAGCAGAUGCCAGGAGAACACUAUCUGCCCGAAAGGCAUAGUCAUUUACAUUUACAUUUAAGUCAUUUAGCAGACGCUCUUAUCCAGAGCGGUCCAACUGUUAAGUUUGGUGGAGGAGGAAUAAUGGUCUGGAACUGUUUUUCAUGGUUUGGGCUAGGCCCCUUAGUUCCAGUGAAGGGAAAUCUUAACGCUACAGCAUGCAAUGACAUUCUAGACGAUCCUGUGCUUCCAACUUUGUGGCAACAGUUAGAGGAAGGCCCUUUCCUGUUUUAGGACAAAGCAAGGUCCAUCCAGAAAUGGUUUGUCGAGAUCGGUGUGGAAGAACUUGACUGUCCUGCACAGAGCCCUGACAUCCCCGCCGCAAUGUUCCAACAUCUAGUGGAAAGCCUUCCAAGAAAAGUGGAGGCUAUUAUAGCAGCAAAGGGGGGACCAACACCAUAUUAAUGCCCAUGAUUUUGGAAUGAGGUGUUUGACUAGCAGGUCUCCAAAUACUUUGGUCGUGUAGUGUAUAUUAUGUUUGGUACGGUUACAAUAGGCAGAAGGUUACUGAAGAAAAAGUGUUGAGUGUUUGAAUUUCAUCACGGACAACUUUAGCAUUUUAGCAACUUUGCAAUUACUUGCUACUUUUUAUUUACUUUUCAACUACUUAGCAUGUUAGCUAUUCCUAACCCUAACCCUUUAAUGUAACUCCUAACCCAAAUUCCUAGCCUAGCUAACUUUAGCCAGCUAGCUAACGUUAGCAUUAGCCACCUAGCCAAAGUUAGCAACAACUAAUUGGAAUUUGUAACAUAUCAUACGUUUUGCACAAAUCGUAACAUAUUUUUGUGAAUUCUUAACAUGUCUAAUGAAAUGGAUGAUGGACAUCCACUAAUUAAUGCAUACCAACGAAUCGUAACAUAUCAUAUUAAAUGGAGUGUCUCAGAUUUAUGUACAGAACAAUACAAAAUUAUCUGAAACAUGGUUGCAGCCGGCCUCCAGGACAUCUACAGCACCCGGUGUCACAGGAAGGCCAAGAAGUAGAUCAUCAAGGACCUCAGCCACCCAAGCCACAGCAUGUUCACCCCACUACCAUCUGGAAGCGGAAUACGGAAGUCCCAUAGGGCGGUGCAAAAUUAGCCCAGCGUCAUCCGGGUUAGGGGAGGGUUUGGCCAGGGGGGCUUUAUUUGGCUCAUCGCGCUCUAGCGUCUCCUUGUGUAGGGCAGGUUGCCUGCAGGCUGACUUCGGUCGUCAGUUGAAUGGUGUUUCCUCUGACAUAUUGGUGCUUCUGGGUUAAGCGAGCGGGUGUUAAGAAGCACAGCUUGGCGGGUCAUGUUUCGGAGGAUGCAUGACUCGCCGUUCCCAAGCCCAUUGUUGAGUUGCAGCGAUGAGACAAGAUAUUAAUUGGGGAGAAAAGGGGGUAAAAAUUACAACAAAAAUGUACACCCAAUUUUUUUUACGAGAAUAGAGCUAAGCAUAAGCAAAAUCCUAGAGGAAAAUCUUGGUUAAUUCUGCUUUCCAACGGACACUGGGAGACAAGUUCACUUUUCAGCAAAAAAUAAAUACAAACGAGUCCAAAUAUACACUGGAGUUGCUUACCAAGACGAUAUUGAAUGUUCCUGAGCUAAGUGCCUUCUAUGUUUGCUUCGAGGCAGGCAAUACUGAACCAUGCAUGAGAGCUCCAGAUGUUCCGGGCGACUGUGCGAUCACGCUCCCCAUAGCCGAGUGGUUAACACCAUUGCGAGCAUCCUGACGGGUUGCAUCAACACUUGGUAUGGCAACCGCUCGGCAUUCGACCGCAAGGCGCUGCAGAGGAUAGUGCGUACGGCCCUUUACAUCACUGUGGCUGAGCUCUCUGCCAUCAGGAACGUCUAUACCAGGGCUACCCCAAGACUGCUGAGCAGUUCAUCAAAUGGCUACCUGGACAAUUUGCAAUUACCCCUUUUUAUUUGUAUUUUUUCUUAUUUGUUUACACUGAUUCUCUUGCACAGGCUUGAUGUACACUCAUUGGACUCUAACCACACACUCACACAUAUUACACUGAUACUCCAACACACAAACACACACAUUAACAUUCCUUCACAAUCUUCACAUACGCUGCUGCUACCCUCUGUUUAUUAUCUAUGCAUAGUACUUUACCCCUACCUACAAUUGAGGUACAUAUUACCUCAACUACCCUGUACCCCUGUACAUUGACUUGGUUCCAGUAUCCCUUGUGUAUAUAGCCUUGUUAUUUUUUAUUGUAUCCUAUUUUUCCUUUUGCUUAUUUAGCAUAUUUUUCUUACUUACUUUUUAAAAACUCUGCAUUGUUGGUUUAAGGGCUCGUAAGUAAGCAUUUCACGGUUGUAUUCGGCACAUGUGACAAAUACAAUUUGAUUUGAGUGGCCUAGUUACAGUUUUGACUUAAAUCGGCUUGAACAUCUAUUGCAAAAACUUAAAUGGCUGUCUAGCAAUGAUCAACAACCAACAUGACAGAGAUUGAAGAAUUUUAAAAAGAAUGAUGUGCAAAUAUUGUACAAUCCAGGUGUGCAAAGGUCUUAGAGAUUUACCCAGAAAGAAUUACAGCUGUAAUCGCUGCCAAAGUUGAUUAUAACUCAGGGGUGUGAAUACUAAUGUAAAUGAGAUACUUAUUUUAUUUUUAAUACAUUUGCAUAAACAUAUCUAAACUUGUUUUCACUUUGUCAUUUUAUUUUUUUAUUUCACCUUUAUUUUACGAGGUAGGCUAGUUGAGAACAAGUUCUCAUUUGCAACUGUGACCUGGCCAAGAUAAAGCAAAGCAGUGUGACACUGACAACAACACAGAGUUACACAUGGAGUAAACAAUAAACAAGCCAAUAACACAAACAAGUCAAUGACACAGUAGAAAAUAGUUGAAGUUUAAAGGUGGUGAGGGAAAUAAGUCUCCAACUUCAGCGAUUUUUGCAAUUCGUUCCAGUCACUGGCAGCAGAGAAGUGGAAGGAAAGGCGGCCAAACGAGGUGUUGACUUUGGGGAUGAUCAGUGAGAUAUACCUGCUGGAACGUGUGCUACUGUUGGGUGUUGUUAUCAUGAUUAUGGUGUAUUGUGUGAAUUUGUAUCUUUAAUCCAUUUUAAAUUCAGACUGGAACAACAAAAUGUGGAAGUAUGAAUACUGCUUUACACAUACUGUCUAUACACACCAUUCAUAUACAUACAGUACAUUUUAUAUUCCAGACUCUGGUUCGGAAGCUAAUUCUUGCAAUUCUAUCCAUUUGCCAUGGGGUUUUGUACUGUGUUUAUAUAGGCCUACUUUAUUCUCGACACAUCUCAUUCUAAUAUUUGUACUACUGUACAUUGCACUGUUUAUACACACCACAUAUUUAUUUAUAUACUGGUCUCUUGACAUUGCUCACUGUAAUAGUCUAUACCUACUGCUGUAGCCUACAUAUAAUUCAUAAUAGGCCUAUAUGUUGUGUAAAUUCAUCCUGUGUGUAUAUAUACAUAUAUGGCAUACAAAUUUAAUUUGGAAUAUGUGUGUAGGCCUACUUUUUUGACAGUUUAAUGGAGAUACUAACAUAAGCAUUUAGCUGCACCAACUAUAACAUAUGCUAAACUGCGACCAAUAAACUUUGAAACGAA